rnacentral:rRNA from 1 species
GUCCACGCCGUAAACGAUGUUCACUAGGUGUUGGGGGUAUUGACCCCCUCAGUGCCGGAGCUAACGCAUUAAGUGAACCGCCUGGGGAGUACGGUCGCAAGACUAAAACUCAAAGGAAUUGACGGGGGCCCGCACAAGCGGUGGAGCAUGUGGUUUAAUUCGAUGCAACGCGAAGAACCUUACCUGGGCUUGACAUCCACGGAACCUACUGGAAACAGUGGGGUGCCUUUCGGGGAGCCGUGAGACAGGUGCUGCAUGGCUGUCGU